UUGGAGGGCAAGUCUGGUGCCAGCAGCCGCGGUAAUUCCAGCUCCAAUAGCGUAUAUUAAAGUUGUUGCAGUUAAAAAGCUCGUAGUUGAAUUUUAGGCCUGGCCGGGCGGUCCGUCUUUGGCGAGUACUGUCUGUUGUUGGGUCUUCCUUCUGGUGAACCAGUAUGUCCUUUAUUGGGUGUGUUGGGGAGCCAGGACCAUUACCUUGAAAAAAUUAGAGUGUUUAAAGCGGGCUAUUGCUUGAAUAGAUUAGCAUGGAAUAAUAGAAUAGGACGUUGUGGUUCUAUUUUGUUGGUUUCUAGGACCACCGUAAUGAUUAAUAGGGAUAGUUGGGGGCAUUAGUAUUCAAUUGUCAGAGGUGAAAUUCUUGGAUUUACUGAUGACUAACUACUGCGAAAGCAUUUGCCAAGGAUGUUUUCAUUAAUCAAGAACGAAAGUUAGGGGAUCGAAGACGAUCAGAUACCGUCGUAGUCUUAACCAUAAACUAUGCCGACUAGGGAUCGGAUGAUGUUAAUUUUUUAAUGACUCAUUCGGCGCCUUACGGGAAAC
rnacentral:rRNA from 1 species